GGGGAGCUUGAUGAAGGCGCGGCGGACUCAGGGAAGGCGCGGCAAAUUGGGAUUUGGGGGGGAGGCGAAAUAGAUAGAGAAGUGUUAGGGCUGUUAGGAACGAAAAUCUUUUUCCUUUUUCUUUUGUUUAAUUUUUAUUAUUCAAUUUUGGUAUUUAGGUUUCUAAUAAUAUUUUCAGAUUUUAUUUAAGUGUUAUUUAAUAAAAAAAAUGUUAUGAGUUUUUUUUUCUCAAAGUCUAUAUAUAGGAAUAAAUUCAGAUUUUAGGAUAAAUAAUUUAUUUGUUAUUUUUAAU
rnacentral:lncRNA from 1 species